GUGCUCACUUUGGCAGCACAUAUACUAAAACUAGAAUGAUACAAAGAUUAGCAUGGCCCCUGUGCAGUAUGACACACAAAUUCGUGAAGCGUUCCAUAUUUUC
rnacentral:snRNA from 1 species